rnacentral:rRNA from 1 species
AUUGAACGCUGGCGGCAUGCCUUACACAUGCAAGUCGAACGGUAACAGGUCUUCGGAUGCUGACGAGUGGCGAACGGGUGAGUAAUACAUCGGAACGUGCCUAGUAGUGGGGAAUAACUACUCGAAAGAGUGGCUAAUACCGCAUGAGAUCUACGGAUGAAAGCAGGGGAUCGCAAGACCUUGUGCUACUAGAGCGGCCGAUGGCAGAUUAGGUAGUUGGUGGGAUAAAAGCUUACCAAGCCGACGAUCUGUAGCUGGUCUGAGAGGACGAUCAGCCACACUGGUACUGAGACACGGCCCAGACUCCUACGGGAGGCAGCAGUGGGGAAGUUUGGACAAUGGGCGCAAGCCUGAUCCAGCAAGGCCGCGUGCAGGAUGAAGGCCUUCGGGUUGUAAACUGCUUUUGUACGGGAAAAAACCCCUGGUCGUGAAUCAGGGCUGAUGGUACCGUAGGAAUAAGCAUCGGCUAACUCCGUGCCAGCCGCCGCCGUAAGAC